GUUAGGAAUAUUGGACAAUGGGCGCAAGCCUGAUCCAGCCAUGCCGCGUGAACGAUGAAGGCCUUCGGGUUGUAAAGUUCUUUAGCCGAUGAUUAUAAUGACUGUAGUCGGAAAAUAAGCCCCGGCUAACUUCGUGCCAGCAGCCGCGGUAAUACGAAGGGGGCGAGCGUUAUUCGGAAUCACUGGGCGUAAAGCGUGCGUAGGCGGUCUCGUAAGUUAGGAGUGAAAGCCCAGGGCUCAACCUUGGAAUUGCUCUUAAAACUGCAAGGCUAGAAUCUCGGAGAGGAUAGCGGAAUUUCCAGUGUAGCAGUGAAAUGCGUAGAUAUUGGAAGGAACACCAGUGGCGUAAGCGGCUAUCUGGACGAGUAUUGACGCUGAGGCACGAAAGCGUGGGGAUCAAACAGGAUUAGAUACCCCGGUAGUCC
rnacentral:rRNA from 1 species